rnacentral:lncRNA from 1 species
GUAAUUAUUCAAAUUUAUUCGGCAUUGGCGUCAUUUCCGCACUUCAACCUAUUUUAACUGAAUGUUUUUUAAAUUAACCUACGAGGAACAGGAGCUACUUGUCUUAUCCAUUUCGGCUUUCCUUGGCUAGUUAGGAACUUUAACUAUUGAAACGUUAAUAGAGUUGGGGUUUUGUGAGCGCUCUAGACCUAGUGAGGUCCUAUGGCCCUAUUUCGGAUGGCCUUAUGGCCUAGGGCCCAAGCAAUAGCCCACGUCUUUGAGGCUACUCAUGCCCAAUUGAAUGGGAUUCAAAGUUGAGCCUCAGGUGUGCCAGUGACACACGUAGUCGAGAUCGUUGGCACAGACCCAACAAGGUUCUUAGCAAACAGACAAAACAUUAUCCAAUCACUUGAAUUACCCUCUAAUUAAUAGCAUGCUUAACAAACAUAACUACAAAAUUGCUCUAGGAACAUUGUAGACCAAACAGGACCCUACAAAAUCAUCAUAGCAAAUCAACAUGAAUCUAAACGCUUAACCCAAACUAAUCAUGCUUAAGCUCAUACUGCAAAUAAAUCAUUACUUAUCUUGACCCUUAACAUCAUUAUUCUAAACCCCUUUCUUUAAAAAAGACUGAUUAUAAACUAAAUGAUAACUUCAGAAUGCCCAACAAUUAAAGCAAAGUAUUACAUGAUCCGUGCUAAUUUCUGAUUCAUAUUUUAAGGGCAUCAUCAAUCAACUUAAACGGCAGGCUUGUUUACAGAAGUUUGAAACAGUCCAUUCAUUACUGCAAGUCCAAAUCUAACAAAUAAAUUACAACAUUGAUUAUGCAAAGGGUUACAUAUGAUGAGUAAACUGCAUAAUGCUUAAAGAAACUAGAGGGAAAACUAACAAUUAGUCGACAGGAACAAUCAUCAAUUAUCAUUCAUCCUUAAACUUGAUUAUAAGACUUUCAACAUUGCCUUUCAUGUGUUGUUUAGGGAUUGACACAUACCUGGGAAAUAAGAGGAAAUAAAUAGGAGGUGAGCUUCAGCAAGUGAACAGAGCAACAGCAAGACGACAAUAUAUCAACAUCAAUAGUUCAUUUCAACCAAUAAAGGGUGUGACACAGCCCAGAACCUAGUCUUUACCAAACAACAAUCGAAACUGAGUUCAAACCAGAUUUUAUUGGAGCAAAAUCAAACCAUUUUCACUACAAAUGACACAACACUUUUCAAAAGAUCAAAAUAUCAAGUGGAAUCCUAUUGGAACAGUAAACUUUUAGUCCCUUUUAGCCAUUUAAGUUUCUUCUGAGUUUUUAUCAUUGAAAAAUUCUCAAAUCAAACCAUUUUAGCUCUCCAACAAACCAGCCUUCAUUUCAGGCUUUAUAAAUCUAAGAAAGCACAAAGAAACACUUAAUGUAAUGGUGAAUUCUCUGAAAUUCUUAGCCGUUCUAGAAGCUUCUUACUCUCUAUCUCUUUCUUUGGUUCUCCUUCUAAGGCAAGAGAGUUGCCUUUAUAGGCAAGUAAACUAGGGCACCCUUAUAUUCUUAAUUUUCAUUUUAGUCCUUCAUUUUUUGACUUGUUAACCAAGUUAUAGCACCAAAAUUUUACAGGAAGCCCCUACUAGAAGCUUCCUAUUCUUGUUACUAAAGAUUCCCUAAGUGAUUUACCUAUACUAUCCUCUCAUUCCCUGAAAAUUAACCUAAACUACCAGCCUGGGUCAAUUUGACCCAAGGCAAAAUCACAUCUGGGCCUUCAACCUCUUUGAAUUGACCCUAUUGUUCUGGGCUUUUACAUGACAGAACUUUAACAAGUGAUCAAACAAACUUCAGGAGUUAAACCCUUAAAUUGAGUCUUUGAAUUAAAACCUCUGAAUUAUACCCCUAGAGUUAAAAGAAAUCUAGGCACAAUUAUGCAAUUAAAGGUAAAAAGCAUCAUCUUAACAAUCAAACUAGUUAAAAUUGUAAAAUAACUGGAUAAUAAGAUCAAAUCAAAUCAACUAGACCUAGAUUCCUGAUUGUUUAAACAUGCGAAUCUCCACUAACAAACCUAAUCUAAUUCGAAUGAGUAAACUCUUAGAAGAGAGCUAAAAAGAAUCGGAAUGAAGGAAGAAAGAGAGAACCAACUAAAAUUUUGCUUUAACAAAACAAAGAAAAUUAAAAGCUAAAGGGAUAGUAUUCAGAUCUAACCGGAAAAGCCUAUAAAAUCUUCAUGCAUUGACAGAGCUUUGAUCUAAGAUUCGAGCCGUCUGAGGGAUAUUUGGAGAAAACCAACGGUGGAUUUGUCAUGAGGGAGGUGAGUGGGUCAUUUGGUAUUGAUUUGGGACCGUUUGCCAGCGGCGGCACCGUGCACGGCGGUGGAGUCCAUGUUUCAAAUGGAUAUUGGAGACGUUUGGCUGAUAUUCGAAAGACACCAGGAACGGAUUUGGAUAGAGGAGGUUGAGGGGAGGAGACGGUGUAAUUUUGGUGGCCAUUGGGUGAUCAUCACCGGAGGAGGUGACUUCCGGCCAGCGGUUUGCGGAUGAGAGACGGUGGUGUUAUAUGUCUCUGAUAACAGGUGAGAGACAGUCGGUGGUGUUAUAUGUCUCUGAUAACAGGUGAUAGACAGAGGUAGGGGUAGGGGUUCU